AGUCUUAUAGUCAUAAAAUGAUAUUAAAUUGCAAAUUUAAAGGAGAGUAGCCUAAACUCUAAGGCUU
rnacentral:tRNA from 1 species